rnacentral:rRNA from 1 species
GACGAACGCUGGCGGCGUGCUUAACACCUGCAAGUCGAACGCAGUGGCGAACGGGUGAGUAACGCGUAAUCAACCUGCCCUUCAGAGGGGGACACCAGUUGGAAACGACUGCUAAUACCGCAUACUUCAGGAUGGGAUUGAGUCGGAUUAGCUAGUGGGAGGGGGAACGGCACACAAAGGCGCUGAGCAGUAGCCGGUCUGAGAGGAUGAACGGCCACAUUGGGACGUAGACACGGCCCAGACUCCUACGGGAGGCAGCAGUGGGGAAUCUUCCGCAAUGGACGAAAGUCUGACGGAGCAACGCCGCGUGAGUGAUGACGGCCUUCGGGUUGUAAAGCUCUGUUAAUCGGGACGCGGUACCGGAAUAGAAAGCCACGGCUAACUACGUGCCAGCAGCCGCGGUAAUUC